UACGGAGGGGGCUAGCGUUGUUCGGAAUUACUGGGCGUAAAGCGCACGUAGGCGGCUUUGUAAGUUAGAGGUGAAAGCCCGGGGCUCAACUCCGGAAUUGCCUUUAAGACUGCAUCGCUAGAAUUGUGGAGAGGUAAGUGGAAUUCCGAGUGUAGAGGUGAAAUUCGUAGAUAUUCGGAAGGAACACCAGUGGCGAAGGCGACUUACUGGACACAU
rnacentral:rRNA from 1 species